rnacentral:ncRNA from 2 species
AGACUGCGCGCGCUUCGAGGUGACCCACGGCAUCCGCCGCACGGGUUGAAACGGGAAGCCGGUGACGCCCCAGCGCUCCUUGAGCGCGACCGGGCCAGCCCGGCACUGCCCCCGCAACGGUAAGCGAGUCGACCGCGGCAACCGCCACUGUGCAUAGGCACGGGAAGGCGCCGCGGGCGGGGCCACGGCCCCGGCUCGCGAGUCCGGAGACCGGCCACGACGCGCGACUGGUU